GGCGAACGGGUGAGUAACACGUGGGUGAUCUGCCCCUUACUUUGGGAUAAGCCUGGGAAACUGGGUCUAAUACUGGAUAGGACCAUGCUGUAGGUGGUGUGGUGGAAAGAUUAGUUUCGGUAAGGGACGAGCUCGCGGCCUAUCAGCUUGUUGGUGGGGUAAUGGCCUACCAAGGCGUCGACGGGUAGCCGGCCUGAGAGGGUGGACGGCCACAUUGGGACUGAGAUACGGCCCAG
rnacentral:rRNA from 1 species